GUGUAUUGGCUAUUUACAGCGAGGCUAUUUAGUUUGACUGCACAUUUCCAUGGUCCCUAGCCAUUCAGGUCCUUGUUGUGUAUGUUGGCUAUUGUAGGUUCAGAUUCGCUAUUUAAAAUAAGAUGCACCUAGAUGAAAUCUAUCGAUCUUGAUAGAAAAGGAGAAGUCCUAUGUGAUUCGCAAGACUGAGUUCAAGAAAUCUCUGACCAGUAUAAGAGUGAAUACUAGAAAAGAGUUUUUAUGAAA
rnacentral:lncRNA from 1 species